ensembl:lncRNA
CCUGAGCUCUGUAGUGUAUACUCAUCCCACUGCAAAUGUAGAUCCAUUUCAUGGUAAAUGGGACUAAAAAUAUCCUUAUGAUUGCCACGUAUCUGUGACUGCGCGUAGCCUAACCCUCAUCUAAUUACUGGAAAAAGCCUUUAGCUGGCACUUGUAACUUUUAGUAGAUGCUGGAAGAAGAUGAGGUGGAGAAAAGGAUUUCAUGAGCUCGGAAGGUUUCACUGUAUUCAGACGUAAAGAGAUGGAGAAUUACCUUCAUGAAUUAAACAACAUCUUUGUCUUCAGAGUAAGCUGUGGCUCGGAAGAGAAGGAUGGGGGAAAAAUGGAAAGAGAUCUCUGAGCGUUUAGAAGACGUGUUUCCUGUGUAGCAGCAGACCAGGCAGUAAGAGUUGGGUUAGCUCUUAAGAUCCGAAUGCUUACCUGUGAACAAGGGCACAAGGAGGGGAAUUGGUUUUCU